rnacentral:rRNA from 1 species
GGGCCCGCACAAGCGGUGGAGCAUGUGGUUUAAUUCGAUGAUACGCGAGGAACCUUACCAGGGCUUAAAUGUAGAGUGACAGGUCUAGAGAUAGAUUUUUCUUCGGACACUUUACAAGGUGCUGCAUGGUUGUCGUCAGCUCGUGCCGUGAGGUGUCAGGUUAAGUCCUAUAACGAGCGCAACCCCUAUCGUUAGUUGCCAGCAAGUAAAGUUGGGGACUCUAGCGAGACUGCCGGUGCAAACCGUGAGGAAGGUGGGGGAUGACGUCAAAUCAUCACGGCCCUUACGUCCUGGGCUACACACGUGCUACAAUGGUAUGGACAAUGAGCAGCCACAACGCGAGUUGGAG